UACCUAUUGCUAUUUAGAGUUGUUGUUGGUAAGAAUCCAUCCUUAAAUCAUAGUUUUUUUAUUCUAACAUAACAGUUGAUAAAGCUCUUGAGUUGCAAACACACAUUAUAAUUUUAUAUUUUGUAAAUAGCAUAUUAUUAACAAAGAUAAUUAUAAAAAAAUGACUACAAAAUUUAGAGAUUAUUACAAAGCAUAAGCUAUGUAUUUUUAAAUUUUAAAAAAUCUAUCUUUGGAUAAAUUAAAAAGAAACAUUUUACAAAAGGUUUUUUACAUCUUUUUAUUUGUUGUAAUAAAAAGUAUAUAUCUUUAAACAUUGGGAUUCUAUAUCUAUUUCUUAAGUUGUUUAAAACUUAGACAAUUCUUUUAAUUUAGAUACCUUUUAAAUCUCUACUUGCAUUACUUUGAAAUAUAUGCCUAAAGGAUUCAAUUUUGUUGUCUCACAUGUGAUAACUAAGUUCAAUUAUAUACUUAGUGAAAAUCUAACAAAUAAUUUGUUAGAACUUUAGUAUUGUGUUGCCAUUCAAGAGAAAGCUCAUUCUGAGUUGAAACUACUGAAUAUUAAUCUUAUCAAAAAAAAAAAAA
rnacentral:lncRNA from 1 species